GACGCGGCAUCCGCAGACUCGUCUCCCGUUCUGCAGUCCACCGACGCGCCGUGACAGCCCACGCCAUGCCUCCUCCACUACCUUUGUUUGUUAUUUAGCUCUUCGGAAUCUUCGAUCAAACCUCCUUAAUUAGCGAUUACUGUUUUCUGUUCUUCGUUGUUGCUGUUCCUUCCGGCCCCAGCCGCGUCAGGGCGAGUCUCCAUCCACCAUCACCUCGAUGGCUACGGCGAUGCCGAUCGCUGGCUAAUUGAUGAACGCCCUCGAGAAGUCCGUCAUCGCCUGCCCCUCCAUGGCUCUUCCCUUCAUCUUUGCCUUCCUCUUCCUCCUCUCGGGGGAUUUCAGGGCGGCGGCGACAGCGGCCGAGUGCGAGGGCCGCUGGAUCUACAUCCGCGAGCUGCCGAGCAGGUUCAACACCGACCUUCUCGCUACUUGCGACGACUUCCCCCUCCUCUUCGAGCUCCGGGAGCAGCAGGAGAAGAGCCUCCUCCCCUUCAUCGCCAACCAUGGAUUGGGGCCUCGCACCCACAACCGCUCCCACUCCUGGUACCGCACCGAUCCCCUCUUCAUGGAGCUCCUUUUCCACCGCCGCAUGCUUGAGUACCCCUGCCUCGUCGCUGACCCUGCCGCCGCCGAUGCCGUCUUUCUCCCCUACUAUGCGGCCAUUGCGGCCCUCCCCUUCCUCUAUUCCCCCGACCAAUGGAACUCCUCCGCCCUCCAUGGCCGCGACCUCGCCGAUUGGCUCCGCCGCGACCGCCCGGGGAUCUGGUCUCGCCGCGCCGGCCAUGACCACUUCCUCGCCGUGGCCGGCGCCGCCUGGGACUUCGACAACGACCCUGCCCAAACCACGGUGUGGGGCACCGCCUUCCUCGGCCUCCCCGAGUGCUACAACCUCUCUGCUCUAACACUCGAGUCGCGUGCCUGGCCUCUUCAGGAGCACGCCGUCCCGCCCCCGACCUCCUUCCACCCCGCCACCCUCGGCCGCUUCAAUGCCUGGCUCGCCCGCGCGCGCCGCUCUCGUCGCCCCGCACUCAUGCUCUUCGCAGGCGGGGCUGCCUCCAGCAGCGGUCGGCCCAACAUCGCCUCGAGCAUCCGCGCCGAGUGUGAGCUCCGCCGCGACCUCUGCGACAUCGUCGACUGCUCCAGGGGCGCCUGCGCCCACGAUCCCGGUCGCUUCAUGCGCCCCAUGAUCCGGGCCCGGUUCUGCCUCCAUCCGCCGGGCGACACUCCGACGCGCCGGUCCACCUUCGACGGCAUCCUCGCCGGGUGCAUCCCGGUGUUCUUCGAGGAGGCGUCGGCAGCGAGGCAGUUCGGAUGGCACCUCCCACGCCGCCGGUACAGUGACUUCUCCGUGCUAAUACCCAAGGAGGAGGUGGUAUUCAGGGGUCGGCGGAUCGCUGACGUGUUGGAAGCGAUACCCCGGGCGCGGGUGCGGCGGAUGAGGAAUGCGGUACUGGAGCUGGCGCCGGCCGUGAUGUACCGCCGGCACGGGAGCUCCACUGCGCUGCGGGCGCGGAAGGACGCGUUCGAUCUGGCCAUCGAGGGGGUCCUGCGGCGCAUCCGAAGGCGGGUGCAAGCGAUGGAGCAGGGGACGAACCCGCUCGUCCUGGUCGGUGAGGACGAGGAAGAGCAGCAUCAGCAGCAUCUGCAGCCGUCUGAUAGCUGAUCGAACGGUCCAGAUACGUCUCUUUUCUAUAUUUUGGAAUUUUUGGUUUUUUGACCAAAACGAAUUGAAUUCGGAUUUCAACUACUUGAACAAAAAAGUGAUUUCUGAAUAGGAGUGAUUGAAACCAUUUUUUACAGUGAUUUUUAUUUUUUUCCUUUUAAAAAAAAUUGAAAGACAUUUUCAUUACCUCAAAUGCACUAACCAACUGAAAUUUAUUUAAUUAUUUUUAAAAUUACUAUAUAGAGAGAAAAAAAAAUGGUGAUUUUAAUUAUUUUUAAUGAUAUUUUUAACUUAAUUUUUUAUAAAAAAAAUAUAAUUUCAUUUCGAGUUAGUGAAAUUUACAGUAAUAUUGAUGAAAUAUAACGACACCCAUUUGGGGUGAAAAACCUCAAUUUACUGACACGUCAACCUUUACCUACCAAUCAUGUCGUACAUUAGAGUUAGUUAUAUAAAAGAGUGUGGAGUUAAUUUGGAUAACUAAAAGAUAACAUGUCGUUAGCUAAGUCAAUAUAUGCCACUUGUGAAGUCCAUAAGAAGUGGCAUUAUCUUUUACAGCGUUUAAGAAUGGUGAGGUCCAUUUAACACAGUCUCUUUCGAUGCCUUAAAGAAGGAAUGAGCAGUCCCAAUCUGUUUUAGUGCCUCAAAACUAUCCACUGUUUUGGAUGAAUCCUUUGUUGCUCUUCAAAGAUAUCAACUUCAAUUUCCUUUGUAACGUUUAUAAAAGGUUGAAAUUGGUUUAUAAAAGGGUUGGCUAUCCCUAAUUUAAUGAAUUAAUCACCUGAUUGAGUUAAGUAUUAAGUAUGGCAUGGUGUUCGAUUUGAAAGGAAUUAUAUACAUAUAAGAUCAAAGUACAUUGAUGUAUUCUGGGUCUCAUGCUAUAAGGAAGAUGUGAAGUUAAGGUGCAUUUUGGAUCCUUGUAUUUUAUGUAACAUAUCACCAUCUAACAUGAUGAGAUAUUGACACAUAAUUUGAUGAGUCCGAAUCAUAGAUCUAAAAUGCAUACACUCAAGUUAAUAAUAUUCUAUCUAUCGAACCCUCAUAAUUUAAUUCAAUUAUUAUCCCACUUUUACAUACUUGGGGCCUGUUGCUAGCCAUCUCAUUAUCAUCUUCUAUCCUUUUUCUUUUAUGCAUGACAAAAAAUAUUCUUUCAGAAAUAACAGAAAGCUGAUGUUGUUCCUUUACACCGUAGCAGAGGGAGUCAACACGGCUUGGUUCAAUCCCGGGUGCAUAAGAUCAUCCACGUUGGCGCUCGGGCAGCGGGGAUCGUCGUUCGGUGAGGUUGGGCUCUAACUUCUAGGGGACCGAUCGUACCUGCUAUAUUCAUGAUCAUCGACCCAUCGGGCGGCCAGCUUACUUUUGGAGCCUAUGUGGGGUGUUCUCCAUGCCAUGGUGUUGGACGACGAUGUCGUGCUCGGUGUCGUCCCGACCUUCACGAGAUGGCUCGGUACUUGGUCGACGUUGUCCCAAUCUUUGCGGGAUGGCGCUGUACUUGGGCAAUAUCGUUCCAACUUUCGCGGGGCAGCAUUGUACUCGGUCGGCGCCUUUCCGAUCUUCGCGGGAUGACGCUGUACUUGGGCGGUGUCGUUCUGACUUUCGCGGGAUAGCACCGUACUUGGUCGACGUCAUCCUGAUCUUCGCGGGACGGCGCUAUAUUUGGGUGGUGUAGUUUAUUAUGCUGACCUGGAUGUUGUCGGCUGUGUUCAGUGGUUGGAGGGCAAGUUACCAAAAUGUGCCCUAUCAGCCUACAUAUACUCUUCAACUAGAAUGAUGAUUGUUUGUGUUGCUUGA